GGUAAUACGGAGGGUGCGAGCGUUAAUCGGAAUUACUGGGCGUAAAGCGCAUGCAGGCGGCCUGUUAAGUCAGAUGUGAAAGCCCCGGGGCUUAACCUCGGAAUUGCAUUUGAAACUGGCAGGCUAGAGUCUUGUAGAGGGGGUAGAAUUUCAGGUGUAGCGGUGAAAUGCGUAGAGAUCUGAAGGAAUACCAGUGGCGAAGGCGGCCCCCUCGGACAAAGACUGACGCUCAGAUGCGAAAGCGUGGGGAGCAAACAGGAUUAGAUACCCUCGGUAG
rnacentral:rRNA from 1 species